rnacentral:lncRNA from 1 species
GUGCAUCUCCCUCAGGGUGGGAAUUCCUCACAUGGAGACCCAGAAGCAAGAACACCCUGAUCCAGAUGGAAAGUUGGGACAGAGAACAAAGAUCUAAUGCAUCAAAGCAGAGACACCUGAGCUAACUGAAGGAGGAUGUUGAGACACCUGCACUGAUCACGCUGAAUGGGAUGGCUGAAACACAGGUGGAGCUUGAGUGACUCUAGUCAAGCAUAUCUUAGUUAUGAUUAGUGAAAA